rnacentral:rRNA from 1 species
GCCUCCCUCUUUCUUCGUGCUUAACACAUGCAAGUCGAACGGAAAGGCCCUGCUUUUGUGGGGUGCUCGAGUGGCGAACGGGUGAGUAACACGUGAGUAACCUGCCCUUGACUUUGGGAUAACUUCAGGAAACUGGGGCUAAUACCGGAUAGGAGCUCCUGCUGCAUGGUGGGGGUUGGAAAGUUUCGGCGGUUGGGGAUGGACUCGCGGCUUAUCAGCUUGUUGGUGGGGUAGUGGCUUACCAAGGCUUUGCCGGGUAGCCGGCCUGAGAGGGUGACCGGCCACAUUGGGACUGAGAUACGGCCCAGACUCCUACGGGAGGCAGCAGUGGGGAAUAUUGCACAAUGGGCGGAAGCCUGAUGCAGCAACGCCGCGUGCGGGAUGACGGCCUUCGGGUUGUAAACCGCUUUCGCCUGUGACGAAGCGUGAGUGACGGUAAUGGGUAAAGAAGCACCGGCUAACUACGUG